UACAGAGGUCCCGAGCGUUGUUCGGAUUCACUGGGCGUAAAGGGUGCGUAGGUGGCAGGGCAAGUUUGAUGUGAAAUCUCCAAGCUUAACUUGGAAACUGCAUUGAAUACUAUCCUGCUCGAGGGUUGGAGGGGGGACUGGAAUUCUCGGUGUAGCAGUGAAAUGCGUAGAUAUCGAGAGGAACACCAGUGGCGAAGGCGAGUCCCUGGACAACACCUGACACUGAGGCACGAAAGCUAGGGGAGCGAAUGGG
rnacentral:rRNA from 1 species